GACAGAAUAGCUCAGUUGGUAGAGCACUGGUGGCGGGCACAAUUCACCUAAGGGGUCUCUGGUUCAAAUCGGGGUUCAGCCA